rnacentral:misc_RNA from 1 species
AACUUUUGACAACGGAUCUCUUGGCUCUCGCAUCGAUGAAGGACGCAGCGAAAUGCGAUAAGUAAUGUGAAUUGCAGAAUUCAGUGAAUCAUCGAAUUUUUGAACGCACCUUGCGCGCCCUGGUAUUCCGGGGAGCACGCCUGUUCGAGUGUCGCGAAAUUUCUCAAGCUUGGAUGGCUUUUUUGUCUGUCCUACGCGUGGGUUGUUGGGCUUUGCCGUGUCCUUCAGUGGGACGGCUGUCCUUAAAAACAUUGCCUGAGCCUCGUCGGGCACUGGUUCUUCUCAGCGUGAUAAUAGUCUGAUCGCUGAGGACAGCUUUUGGGAUGGCCAGUUCUCAUUUGGGUUGCUUCUACACUUGGUUUUGCAGAUUCUUUCAGUCUGUGUUCCACUUUUUCAGCUUUGACCUCGAAUCAGGUGGGACUACCCGCUGAACUUAAGCAUAUCAAUAAGCGGAGGCU